UGAACGCUAGCUACAGGCUUAACACAUGCAAGUCGAGGGGCAUCAGGAAGAAAGCUUGCUUUCUUUGCUGGCGACCGGCGCACGGGUGAGUAACACGUAUCCAACCUGCCCUUUACUCGGGGAUAGCCUUUCGAAAGAAAGAUUAAUACCCGAUAGCAUAAUGAUUCCGCAUGGUUUCAUUAUUAAAGGAUUCCGGUAGAGGAUGGGGAUGCGUUCCAUUAGGUUGUUGGUGAGGUAACGGCUCACCAAGCCUUCGAUGGAUAGGGGUUCUGAGAGGAAGGUCCCCCACAUUGGAACUGAGACACGGUCCAAACUCCUACGGGAGGCAGCAGUGAGGAAUAUUGGUCAAUGGGCGCUAGCCUGAACCAGCCAAGUAGCGUGAAGGAUGAAGGCUCUAUGGGUCGUAAACUUCUUUUAUAUAAGAAUAAAGUGCAGUAUGUAUACUGUUUUGUAUGUAUUAUAUGAAUAAGGAUCGGCUAACUCCGUGCCAGCAGCCGCGGUAAUACGGAGGAUCCGAGCGUUAUCCGGAUUUAUUGGGUUUAAAGGGAGCGUAGGUGGACUGGUAAGUCAGUUGUGAAAGUUUGCGGCUCAACCGUAAAAUUGCAGUUGAUACUGUCAGUCUUGAGUACAGUAGAGGUGGGCGGAAUUCGCGGUGUAGCGGUGAAAUGCUUAGAUAUCACGAAGAACUCCGAUUGCGAAGGCAGCUCACUGGACUGCAACUGACACUGAUGCUCGAAAGUGUGGGGUAUCAAACAGGAUUAGAUACCCUGGUAGUCCACACAGUAAACGAGGAAUACUCGCUGUUUGCGAUAUACAGUAAGCGGCCAAGCGAAAGCAUUAAGUAUUCCACCUGGGGAGUACGCCGGCAACGGUGAAACUCAAAGGAAUUGACGGGGGCCCGCACAAGCGGAGGAACAUGUGGUUUAAUUCGAUGAUACGCGAGGAACCUUACCCGGGCUUAAAUUGCAGUGGAAUGAUGUGGAAACAUGUCAGUGAGCAAUCACCGCUGUGAAGGUGCUGCAUGGUUGUCGUCAGCUCGUGCCGUGAGGUGUCGGCUUAAGUGCCAUAACGAGCGCAACCCUUAUCUUUAGUUACUAACAGGUUAUGCUGAGGACUCUAGAGAGACUGCCGUCGUAAGAUGUGAGGAAGGUGGGGAUGACGUCAAAUCAGCACGGCCCUUACGUCCGGGGCUACACACGUGUUACAAUGGGGGGUACAGAAGGCAGCUAGCGGGUGACCGUAUGCUAAUCCCAAAAGCCUCUCUCAGUUCGGAUCGAAGUCUGCAACCCGACUUCGUGAAGCUGGAUUCGCUAGUAAUCGCGCAUCAGCCACGGCGCGGUGAAUACGUUCCCGGGCCUUGUACACACCGCCCGUCAAGCCAUGGGAGCCGGGGGUACCUGAAGUACGUAACCGCAAGGAUCGUCCUAGGGUAAAACUGGUGAAA
rnacentral:rRNA from 1 species